CACGUAGGGGGCGAGCGUUGUCCGGAUUUAUUGGGCGUAAAGCGUGCGCAGGCGGUGAUGUAAGACAGAUGUGAAAUCCCCGGGCUCAACCUGGGAACUGCAUUUGUGACUGCAUCGCUGGAGUGCGGCAGAGGGGGAUGGAAUUCCGCGUGUAGCAGUGAAAUGCGUAGAUAUGCGGAGGAACACCGAUGGCGAAGGCAAUCCCCUGGGCCUGCACUGACGCUCAUGCACGAAAGCGUGGGGAGCAAACAGG
rnacentral:rRNA from 1 species